CUUGGGGCUGCUACAAUGCAAGUCGAACGUGAUCCGCCCUUCGGGGUGGUGAAAGUGGCGCACGGGUGAGUAACGCGUGGAUAAUCUGCCCGAGGAUUUGGGAUAACAUCUCGAAAGGGGUGCUAAUACCGAAUAAGCCCACGGGGUCUACGGAUCUUGCGGGAAAAGGGGGGGACCUUCGGGCCUCCUGUCCUUGGAUGAGUCUGCGUACCAUUAGCUAGUUGGUGGGGUAAUGGCCUACCAAGGCGACGAUGGUUAGCUGGUCUGAGAGGAUGAUCAGCCACACUGGAACUGAGACACGGUCCAGACUCCUACGGGAGGCAGCAGUGGGGAAUUUUGCGCAAUGGGGGAAACCCUGACGCAGCAACGCCGCGUGGGUGAUGAAGGCCUUCGGGUCGUAAAGCUCUGUCUGGAGGGAAGAAAUGAUUGGGAGCUAAUACCUCUUGAUCUUGACGGUACCUCUGAAGGAAGCACCGGCUAACUCCGUGCCAGCAGCCGCGGUAAUACGGAGGGUGCAAGCGUUGUUCGGAAUUAUUGGGCGUAAAGCGCGUGUAGGCGGUCUUUUAAGUCUGAUGUGAAAGCCCCGGGCUCAACCUGGGAAGUGCAUUGGAAACUGGGAGGCUUGAGUACGGGAGAGGAGAGUGGAAUUCCUAGUGUAGGAGUGAAAUCCGUAGAUAUUAGGAGGAACACCGGUGGCGAAGGCGGCUCUCUGGACCGAUACUGACGCUGAGACGCGAAAGCGUGGGGUAGCAAACAGGAUUAGAUACCCUGGUAGUCCACGCCGUAACGAUGAGUACUAGUGUUGCGGGUAUUGACCCCU
rnacentral:rRNA from 1 species